AAAGAUGCAGGAUGUCAGCAAGAAUGUCAGAAGAAAUCAAGAAUGAUAUUUUAAAUGGUCAUAGACUGCGAGAUGAUGCAAUCAAUUUAUGCCAGAAAAUAUUGAAGUUGCAGUUCCCUUUAGUGAACGGGUUCGAAGAAACCGAUUCUGGUGAAAAGGGAUAGUUCAGUCAUCACAAAGAAAAUUUUGCACAGAUACUCUUUCAUGCAGAUCACUGGACUGCUGUGUUUUCCUUGGAUGAUAAAGAGAUAUAUUAUUGCGACUCACUUGCUGGAAGAAUUGCUGAAGCGGUAUGGAAGCAGAUAGCCGAUAUCGCAUUCACUUCAGAAAGCACCUUAUCUGUUAACAUUUCUCCUGUCCAUCAACAAAAAAACUCUAUUGAUUGUGGAGUUUUUGCCGUAGCUUUUCUUGUCGAUGCAUUGUUUGGCGUUACUCCUGUAGGUCAAAAAUUCGACAUUGCAAAAAUGAGAAAACAUCUUCUUUCAUGCUUGGUUGAAGAAAAGUUUUCGCCGUUUCCUCGCACAGAAAAAAGGUGCAAGACCAACAGAGCGUUGGUCAGUUACCAGGAUGUUUUUUGUGUUUGUCGUCGACCAUUUUUCACUAGAGACGCCGAAGCUGACAGCAAGAUGUUCAUGGCUGUUUGCAGUAAAUGCGAGGAAUGGUAUCACAGAAAGUGUGUGUCCAUUCCUUUAGAAGUAUUUAAAAACGAUGACGAGGCUGUUAAAUGGAAGUGUGGAAAGUGUUAAUGUUCAUUCAAAACAGUGUAUUUCUCUUUCUUAUCAUUAUGAUUUUACUAAGCGUUUUUUAUAUAUUGUUUUUUUAUUUACAUUUUACAUACUUUUUUUAAAAAAAAAAAGAUAAAAUGAUGAUUUAA